UACGAAGGGGGCUAGCGUUGCUCGGAAUCACUGGGCGUAAAGGGUGCGUAGGCGGGUCUUUUAAGUCAGGGGUGAAAUCCUGGAGCUCAACUCCAGAACUGCCUUUGAUACUGAAGAUCUUGAGUUCGGGAGAGGUGAGUGGAACUGCGAGUGUAGAGGUGAAAUUCGUAGAUAUUCGCAAGAACACCAGUGGCGAAAGGCGGCUCACUGGCCCGAUACUGACGCUGAGGCACGAAAGCGUGGGGAGCAAACAGG
rnacentral:rRNA from 1 species